UACAAGAGUGACGCCGUGGCCUUCCGUCUGGCCCGGCGUCACUUUCCAACUGCAAGGUGCGCUUGCGCAGUUAACUGAGCAGGCGCGCCUCGCAGUUGCUUGGGAAACGACGACGCCGGGCCAGACACCAGGCCGCGGCGUCACGACUCUUUUAUGAAUCGCCGCCCGCCGCCGCUGCCGGUGGGUGGGUAGAAGGCUCACCCUCCGCCCCCCACAGCUAUGUCAUCGGCUGCGCGGCAGCGGCGGGCCCUGGCAGACGAGGAGGCGGCGACGAGGAGGGGAGGAAGAAAGCGCUGCCGUGCUGAGUUGACAUUUCAGUGAGCUUCCUACCAUGACCCCAAGAUUUUUUUCCUGAGCAGUCACAACCAAUUUGGACCCCAAUAUGCUUACUUACGCUGAAUUUCAUCUGCUAUUCUACUAUGCACUCACUCAGUUUGGAAACCGUUUCAGAGCUCUUCACAGUCUUCCUGGAGUCUGCACUUGCCUUUCUGUACAUAAUAUAUAUUCAUUAAACUAUUAAUAUUCCUGAUUCUA